UCAAGAUUCUUGCUAGUAACUUAAUUCCACAUACAGAGAAAUAAGUAGAAUUGACAGACUACAGCUUCUCCUGCAUUCUUGCAAUUCUCUUUUUCACAUACCACUGAGG